rnacentral:rRNA from 1 species
CCUACGGGCGGCAGCAGUGAGGAAUAUUGGUCAAUGGACGAGAGUCUGAACCAGCCAAGUAGCGUGAAGGAUGACUGCCCUAUGGGUUGUAAACUUCCUUUAUAUGGGAAUAAAACGUUCCACGUGUGGGAUUUUGUAUGUACCAUAUGAAUAAGGAUCGGCUAACUCCGUGCCAGCAGCCGCGGUAAUACGGAGGAUCCGAGCGUUAUCCGGAUUUAUUGGGUUUAAAGGGAGCGUAGGUGGAUUGUUAAGUCAGUUGUGAAAGUUUGCGGCUCAACCGUAAAAUUGCAGUUGAAACUGGCAGUCUUGAGUACAGUAGAGGUGGGCGGAAUUCGUGGUGUAGCGGUGAAAUGCUUAGAUAGCACGAAGAACUCCGAUUGCGAAGGCAGUUCACUGGACUGCAACUGACACUGAGGCUCGAAAGUGUGGGUAUCAAACAGGAUUAGAUACCCGGGUAGUC